rnacentral:rRNA from 1 species
CGCGAAGACCUUACCCAGGCUUGAACAGCGAGUGACCAGCGAUGAAAGUCGCCUUCCGCAAGGACACUCGUAGAGGUGCUGCAUGGCUGUCGUCAGCUCGUGUCGUGAGAUGUUGGGUUAAGUCCCGCAACGAGCGCAACCCUUGUCCUCUGUUGCCAUCACGUUAUGGUGGGCACUCUGGGGAGACUGCCGGUGAUAAACCGGAGGAAGGUGGGGAUGACGUCAAGUCAGCAUGGCCUUUAUGUCUGGGGCUACACACGUGCUACAAUGGCCGGUACAAAGCGUCGCGAGCCCGCGAGGGGGAGCUAAUCGCAGAAAGCCGGUCUCAGUUCGGAUCGUAGGCUGCAACUCGCCUGCGUGAAGUCGGAAUCGCUAGUAAUCGCGGAUCAGCACGCCGCGGUGAAUACGUUCCCGGGUCUUGUACACACCG